rnacentral:rRNA from 1 species
UACAGAGGGGGCAAGCGUUAUUCGGAAUUAUUGGGCGUAAAGGGCGCGUAGGCGGCUUGGCAAGUGGAAGGUGAAAUCCCUCGGCUUAACCGAGGAACUGCCCUCCAAACUGCUUUGCUUGAGGCCGGGAGAGGUGAGUGGAAUUCCCAGUGUAGCGGUGAAAUGCGUAGAUAUUGGGAGGAACACCAGUGGCGAAGGCGGCUCACUGGUCCGGUACUGACGCUGAGGUGCGAAAGCGUGGGGAGCAAACAGG